rnacentral:rRNA from 1 species
UACGGAGGGUGCAAGCGUUAUCCGGAUUCACUGGGCUUAAAGGGUGCGUAGGUGGGCAGGUAAGUCAGUGGUGAAAUCUCCGGGCUUAACCCGGAAACUGCCAUUGAUACUAUCAGUCUUGAAUACCGUGGAGGUAAGCGGAAUAUGUCAUGUAGCGGUGAAAUGCUUAGAUAUGACAUAGAACACCAAUUGCGAAGGCAGCUUACUGCCCGAAUAUUGACACUGAGGCACGAAAGCGUGGGGAUCAAACAGG